rnacentral:rRNA from 1 species
AGUGAACGCUGGCGGUAGGCCUAACACAUGCAAGUCGAACGGCAGCACAGUAAGAGCUUGCUCUUACGGGUGGCGAGUGGCGGACGGGUGAGGAAUACAUCGGAAUCUACUUUUUCGUGGGGGAUAACGUAGGGAAACUUACGCUAAUACCGCAUACGACCUACGGGUGAAAGCAUGGGAUCUUCGGACCUUGCGCGAUUGAAUGAGCCGAUGUCGGAUUAGCUAGUUGGCGGGGUAAAGGCCCACCAAGGCGACGAUCCGUAGCUGGUCUGAGAGGAUGAUCAGCCACACUGGAACUGAGACACGGACCAGACUCCUACGGGAGGCAGCAGUGGGGAAUAUUGGACAAUGGGCGCAAGCCUGAUCCAGCCAUACCGCGUGGGUGAAGAAGGCCUUCGGGUUGCAAAGCCCUUUUGUUGGGAAAGAAAAGCAGCAGGUUAAUACCACGCUGUUCUGACGGUACCCAAAGAAUAAGCACCGGCUAACUUCGUG